UGGGGAAUAUUGGACAAUGGGGGAAACCCUGAUCCAGCAAUGCCGCGUGAGUGAAGAAGGCCUUAGGGUUGUAAAGCUCUUUCGCCCGCGAAGAUAAUGACGGUAGCGGGAGAAGAAGCCCCGGCUAACUCCGUGCCAGCAGCCGCGGUAAUACGGAGGGGGCUAGCGUUGUUCGGAAUUACUGGGCGUAAAGCGUACGUAGGCGGAUGCGCAAGUUGGGGGUGAAAUCCCGGGGCUUAACCUCGGAAUUGCCCUCAAAACUGCACGUCUUGAGACCGAGAGAGGUAAGGGGAAUUCCUAGUGUAGAGGGGAAAUUCGUAGAUAUAGGAAGAACACCAGUGGCGAAGGCGCCUUACUGGCUCGGUACUGACGCUGAGGUACGAAAGCGUGGGGAGCAAACA
rnacentral:rRNA from 1 species